rnacentral:lncRNA from 1 species
UGAUGCUUCCAAUCAUGCCAAGGAAGCCUCGCAUCUCACCCUUCCACAGAAGCCUUCGCAUGUCCCUUGGCAUGGGUUUCUGGAGGUACUCAUUAGUGUAAAGGGCUUCAAUUGCAGAGCAAAACCGCAUUAGGGACUCCAGAAUAGUUGUUUUUCCCAUCCUCCCAAUCUUAUCCACUUGAUCUACAAAUGCUCCAUAUGCAAGCAUUUGCAAGGCAGAUGUAAUUUUUUGCUCAGGAAGAUGACCUAGAACAUGAAAAUCAUCAUCUUUUUGCACAAAGUAUGGAUCAUGGUUGCAAAUAGCACUCAUGAUUUUGUUGAACAAACUUC